CCUACGGGAGGCAUCAUUUUUUCCUCUUUCCCCCUUUUGUCCCCCCUGCUGCCGCCACGCCGCGUGAGUGAAGAAGGCUUUCGGUAUGUAAAGCUCUAUCCGCAGGGAAGAAGAUAACGGUAGCUGAUUAAGAAGACGCGGCUGACUACGUGCCCGCAGCCGCGGUAAUACGUAGGGGGCAAGCGUUAUCCGGAUUUACGGGGUGGAGAGGAAGCGCAGACGGCAGUGCAAGUAUGAAGUGAAAGCCCGGGGCCCAACCACUGAACUGCUCUGGAAACUGUGCUGCUAGAGUACUGGAGGGGCAGGCGGAAUUCCUAGUGUAGCGGUGAAAUGCGUAGAUAUUAGGAGGAACACCAGUGGCGAAGGCGGCCUGCUGGACAGUAACUGACGUUGAGGCUCGAAAGCGUGGGGAGCAAACAGGAUUAGAUACCCCAGUAGUC
rnacentral:rRNA from 1 species